rnacentral:rRNA from 1 species
GACGAACGCUGGCGGCGUGCUUAACACAUGCAAGUCGAACGGAAAGGCCCUGCUUUUGUGGGGUGCCCGAGUGGCGAACGGGUGAGUAACACGUGAGUAACCUGCCCUUGACUUUGGGAUAACUUCAGGAAACUGGGGCUAAUACCGGAUAGGAGCUCCUGUUGCAUGGUGGGGGUUGGAAAGUUUCGGCGGUUGGGGAUGGACUCGCGGCUUAUCAGCUUGUUGGUGGGGUAGUGGCUUACCAAGGCUUUGACGGGUAGCCGGCCUGAGAGGGUGACCGGCCACAUUAGGCCUGAGAUACGGACCAGACUCCUACGGGAGGCAGCAGUGGGAAAUAUUGCACAAUGGGCGGGAGCCUGAUGCAGCAACGCCGCGUGCGGGAUGACGGCCUUCGGGUUGUGAACCGCUUUCGCCUGUGACGAAGCGUGAGUGACGGUAAUGGGUAAAGAAGCACCGGCUAACUACGUG